rnacentral:rRNA from 1 species
AUUGAACGCUGGCGGCAUGCCUUACACAUGCAAGUCGAACGGCAGCACGGGUGCUUGCACCUGGUGGCGAGUGGCGAACGGGUGAGUAAUACAUCGGAACGUACCUUAUCGUGGGGGAUAACGCAGCGAAAGCUGUGCUAAUACCGCAUACGCCCUGAGGGGGAAAGCGGGGGAUGGCAAGACCUCGCGCGAUUAGAGCGGCCGAUGCCUGAUUAGCUAGUUGGUGGGGUAAAAGCCCACCAAGGCGACGAUCAGUAGCUGGUCUGAGAGGACGAUCAGCCACACUGGGAAUGAGACCCGGCCCAGACUCCUACGGGAGGCAGCAGUGGGGAAUUUUGGACAAUGGGGGCAACCCUGAUCCAGCAAUGCCGCGUGAGUGAAGAAGGCCUUCGGGUUGUAAAGCUCUUUUGUCAGGGAAGAAACACCGGCUCUAACACAGUCCGGGAAUGACGGUACCUGAAGAAUAAGCACCGGCUAACUACGUGCCAGCAGCCGCAGUAA